AUGCCGGUGGUGAGGGGGGAUGACAAGUCUGCUUGCGUCGGCGAGUACUCCAAGCUCUGCGGCAAGGACCCCGCAUGCACCACCAUGGUCGAGACGACCUGCCGUGAUGAUGCCGACAGUGUCAAGGCCAGCAAGGGCAUGUUCGAUGAGCUCGCCAAGGUCGGUGGAGACAACUUUGAUUUCGCUUCUACGGCAUAG
rnacentral:rRNA from 1 species